rfam:Thecamonas trahens ATCC 50062 unplaced genomic scaffold supercont1.23, whole genome shotgun sequence.
UCCCCCAUAGUACAAUGGCUAGUAUAUGAGCUUCUCACGUUCAAGAUCAGAGUUCGAUUCUCUGUGGGGGAG